rnacentral:ncRNA from 2 species
UACCGUGGGGAUGGUUAUGGUUCCCCGCAUCGUUAUGCUGCGGGGCUAAGAGGGAAGCCGGUGCGCCACCCCCGUCAGGGAUCGGUAGCAAGUCCGGCGCUGCCCCCGCAACUGUGAGCGGCGAGCCGCAUCGUCCAAAUCCGUGUCACUGGCGCUUGGCUCCCCUCGGGAGACUGGCCGCGCCGGGAAGGCCGGACGGCGUGGCAACGACCCGCAAGCCAGGAGACCUGCCAUAACCAGACGAAAAUC